AAAUGUGCCCUUUCUUGGGAGACAUUUCUCGCUGUCCAGGACAGACAGGAAAACGUAAACGCAUGCUUUUACUCUCUAGCAAAUUGAAAUAAUUUACAAUUAGCAUUUAAAGGAAAGUAUUGGAAUGCCGAAGCGAAGCACCAGUCAAUUUGUAAGAUCAACAGAGAAACUUCGAUUGUACAAACAAAUGUUUGUAAAUUGCGGAUUAAUGGAAAUGCAUAAUGGGAAAUGACGUCUAUUACUAGCAAAGAUGCCACAUACAUAUCCUUCCGCAGAAAAAUAGUAUUGUUAUUUUGUAGAACUAAAAUUAUUUGAUUUAUUUGAUAAUAGCAUAAUUAUGCAAACUAUAUAUUAAAAACAAUACAUAUGAGUGCUUUCAUAUGAGUGCUUUCUGUGUCGUUCACAACAUUCACAACAUCCAGGGUUGCUAGAGAGAUAUAAUUCGGUCGGCACCCAUCCCUCAGGUCCUGUUCAAAAUUGUGAGUGCUUAGCUGAAUUGCCCAUGAUUUUGAAAACGAAUUAGUUUUCUAAAAACUCUCAUUGUUGGGAAAUGUACGGUCGGCACCCAUGCUUCCGGUCCAGUUCGUUUAUAUUCUGAUGCAGAAAAAAUGGAACGUAGUCGCCAGCGAGUUCGUUGCAAUAGUGUUUCUAUUUCCGGCAACAUUCGCGUGACGCUAGCGCAUGCAAAAGGGGUACUUUCCUUUGAGAGCUUGAAAGUUUUACACUGACAGUACCGCACAAAAUCUUAAAAUCAAUCACCCUGACAAUCAUUAUAUGUUCAGUACGAGGCUGUCACAAUUUGAUGAAGGAGGCAGUUUUUACAACAGCCAUGUUUAGAACACCAACCGCUACGUCGAUCUGUGGAGUCCCAUAUGACCUGCAUCCACCUCCUAAAGACACAGUCUUUGCGGCUCUGGCUCAAAGCGUUUAAUCUAAAGAAACGUCCCUUUGUAUGCUCCUACCAAUUCUUUGACAAUAAGUUUACAGUCGAGCAUCCACACCCAGAAAAAUGGCUUGGCUACGAUACUCCACUCGUGAAGACGCGUCGGGUGUUGGUCAGGCAGUCAUCAGUGACAGAUGACACAACAGGUUCAAGUUUUCACCAAAUUGAAAAUGGGGAUUGGCCAACACGAAUAGAAAGAAUUGAUUUACCUUCAGAGAAGGAUGCCCAAACCCAAUGGGAAGACCCAUCUCUAAGUGAUCACAACUAUAGCUCAGGUGAUCAUGUAAAGCUCACUACCUGUGAGGCAGGGAUACAGUGCCCAGCAGCACCACUCUACAAAACCCUGCUGAGGAAUGAAGCACUCUGUUGACUGCAUACAGGCUUGUCUCUUGCUACCCUUUCUACCCUCCUGGUAGAACAUCUUCUACCCUUCUACAAAGGCAGCUUUCAAUUAGACCUGACAGACCAACUUCUGAUGACACUGAUGAAGCUCAAAUUGCUGCUGCAGUACCUAGCAGAAAGGUUUGGUGUUUUCCAGGGUAUUGUCAUUUGAGUGAUUAGUUAUUGGAUUGACAUGAUGGAAGAGAGUCUGAGGGAGUACAUUCCAUGGUUGCCAAGGGAGUUCAUCCGUGCUACAAUGCCACAAUGUUUUAAGGACUACUACCAAGGACCAACCUGGAUUAUCGUCUGCUCAGAAAUUGCUUUACAGAAUGCAAGAAUCUGGAUUCAAGGGGGGAGUCAUUCAACCAUUACUACACCCAGAACACUAUCAAGUACCUUGUGGUCGGUCUGGUGAUGUUAAUUUCUUCAGCAUAUGGAGGUAGAUGUAGCAACAAAUAUAUAACGUUGGAUUCUAGGUUCUUGGAGAACCUCUGUCCAGAUGAUGAGGUCAUGGCUGACCGGGGCUUCACAAUCCAUGAACUGGUGUAUAAGAGGAAGGUUAAAUGAACAAUUCCAGCCUUCACAAAAAGAGGCGCACAGCUGUCAGUGGAGGACACCACAUGUACAAGAUUGAUAGCCAACGUGAGGGUCCAUGUGGAACGCGUAAUUCAAAGGCUCAAACGGUUUAGAAUCAUCUCACAGUCAGUGCCAAUCGACCUCUCAUCGAAAAUGAAAUACUUUGAAAUACUUUGUAUCUGUGCUGCCCUGUGUAACCUGUGUGGUGAUAUCAUUCAUGAAGAUGUUGAAUCAACUGAUCAGUCAAAUGCAAUUCACAGGGUUGAUUUCCCAUUAUGAAUUAAAGUUGUCUAAAGUUACGUUAAUACGUUAAUACAUUUCAAUUAAUUAUAUAACAACUCAACUGAAUUAUUUGUUUUACAUACUCAUUAAUAUUAAUAAAAAACAGCCAUAAAAAUAAUUUCUACAGUACUGUGACUGUUGAUGCAGUAAGUUAGGCUUUUUAAUUGAAUAUUGUAUAACUGUGGACCAGCUAGCUAACUAGAUUGCUAAUUUGCCGGUACGGUAUGGUUGGUUAGCUAGUUUCUUGCAUAUUCUGGCAAAGACCACUGCACUAAUAGGAAACUCUUUGGCAACAAUUAUGAACAUUUUCUCUUUUUGUAUGUGGAAUAGGGCUUAAAUUGAGGAAACUGAACUUGAGCCUGCUUGAAACUUGGGUUUUGUUUUGGUUGACCAAGAGUCGGUAUGUCGCAGGUUGGUUCUUUGUAUGCACUGUAUGUUUGUGAUAAACAAAUUAUUCUACCUAUAUUAAUUAUACUGUAAUUACUGAUGCAGCAUUUGUGAUGUUUUUAGAUCAGUUGAUUGAGCCUUGCUAAUGGGAGUAGCUAAUUGGCUGAAAUGAACCUACACAAAGGACUGGAGUUGAGGAACACUUGUGAAUAACUCGACAGUGAGCCUCUGCUGAUGUUUCAAGAUAUUCAUUAUGUCUUUGUUUAUAGACUAAGAAGAGACGGAACUGUGGUCGUGCCAAGAAGGGCUGUGGGCAUGUGCAGGGACAAGGCCAUAAAAAAAGUUUGUCAUCCCGAACAUUGUUGAGGCUGCUGCUGUAGAUAUCUCAGAGGCUAGCGUGUUUGAAUGUGAGUAGAUUGUUGAAUGGUCUGAGGGCAACUAGUCAUGUGAUGCUAGCAUUGAAUGGCACUGGAGCAUGUAUUUUGUUUGAUUAGAUCCACCAGAUCCUUGGUUUAUUACACUUCAUACUCAAACAUCCUUUCUUCUGGCAAGCCUGUUUUGCCCAAGCUCUAUGUGAAACUGCACUACUGCGUGAGCUGUGCCAUCCACUGUAAGGUGGUCAGGAACCACAGAGGCCAGGAAGGACCGCACACCACCAUCCCGCUUCAGGCCCAGUUGUGAAUACUCAAGCACCAAGCUCUGCCAUGGCCAUUAAAUGGUGAUCAUGAAUGUCGAACUCAUUCCAUGGAGGGCUGAGUAUGUGCUAGUUUUCUUUAUUUCCUUUCAAUUUGUCCAAUUAAGACCUACACAACCAGGUGAGGGGGAGUUCCUAAAUAAUCAGUGACCGUAAUGGAUCAAUCAAGUACAAGGGAGGAGCGAAAACCCAUGGAAUGAGUUUGACACCUGUGGCCUGCACAAAUCCUCAUGUCUGGGAUACCUGCUUGGAUUGAGAGAAUCCUCAGUCAAAUACAGAAACUGACAUUUCCAUUCUUGCCUUUCCUCUAACGUUGGCUGUUAUUGCAUGAUGUGAUUGUGGAAUACUGUUCUGAUGGAAUGUGUUCUCUUUCUACAGGGUGGCCCACCCAGAGUUCCUCCACAGCCCAUGUAAAACAGAUUGAUUUGAAUAUAUUUUUCACUUGCAAAACAUUUAUAUACAUCUUUAUAAAUAUGAAUGUCUUAUCAUUGUAGAAAAUAUCAGCCAGUCAAGUGUAUUUAUUUGGAAUACUCUCCUUCAAUACAGUACAAAAUUUACAGUAGUUUAAUCUUGAUACACAAAUACUUAAUUACAUUAUGGUACAUGAAAAAAGGCUCUGCAGUUCAAGCGAAUCCACACAAUUCACAGGGGCAGGAGUAAAGGUAACAGAGCAGAUAGUCAAGUCAAAGGGAACACAAACACAGUGCAAUCAAGAAACCUUGAAAGGGAAAGGAACAUUGAAACUAGGGCAAAAACAAGCACACAUCAGUAACAAAAUAUUUUUCUCUGAAGCUGGGGUGACUUAAGGGGAAAUACAAAAUAAGCUUGACUCAUUUGUCCUUUAGAUUUUUGUGAAAUCUUUUAAGGUUUAGGAGACCACAUUGU